UACGGAGGGUGCGAGCGUUGUCCGGAAUCAUUGGGCGUAAAGGGCGCGUAGGUGGCCUGGUCAGCGUGCGGUGAAAGCUCGGGGCUCAACCCCGAGUCGGCCGUGCGAACUGCUGGGCUGGAGCACUGUAGAGGCAGGCGGAAUUCCGGGUGUAGCGGUGGAAUGCGUAGAGAUGUGGAGGAAUACCGAUGGCGAAGGCAGCCCCCUGGGAUAACACUGACGCUCAUGGCACGAAAGCGUGGGGAGCAAACAGG
rnacentral:rRNA from 1 species